rnacentral:rRNA from 1 species
UCCGUAGGGUGCGAGCGUUAAUCGGAAUUACUGGGCGUAAAGCGUGCGCAGGCGGCUUCGCAAGUCAGGCGUGAGAUCCCCGGGCUUAACCUGGGAAUGGCGUCUGAAACUACGGAGCUGGAGUGUGGCAGAGGGAGGUAGAAUUCCACGUGUAGCGGUGAAAUGCGUAGAUAUGUGGAGGAAUACCGAUGGCGAAGGCAGCCUCCUGGGCCAACACUGACGCUCAUGCACGAAAGCGUGGGGAGCAAACAGG